AUUGAACGCUGGCGGCAGGCCUAACACAUGCAAGUCGAGCGGAUGAAGGGAGCUUGCUCCUGGAUUCAGCGGCGGACGGGUGAGUAAUGCCUAGGAAUCUGCCUGGUAGUGGGGGAUAACGUCCGGAAACGGGCGCUAAUACCGCAUACGUCCUGAGGGAGAAAGUGGGGGAUCUUCGGACCUCACGCUAUCAGAUGAGCCUAGGUCGGAUUAGCUAGUUGGUGGGGUAAAGGCCUACCAAGGCGACGAUCCGUAACUGGUCUGAGAGGAUGAUCAGUCACACUGGAACUGAGACACGGUCCAGACUCCUACGGGAGGCAGCAGUGGGGAAUAUUGGACAAUGGGCGAAAGCCUGAUCCAGCCAUGCCGCGUGUGUGAAGAAGGUCUUCGGAGUGUAAAGCACUUUAAGUUGGUAGGAAGGGCAGUAAGUUAAUACCUUGCUGUUUUGACGUUACCAACAGAAUAAGCACCGGCUAACUUCGUG
rnacentral:rRNA from 1 species